CGGGAAAAGCUCAAAUUUAAAAUCUGGCGGUCUUCGAUCGGCCGAGUUGUAGUCUGGAGAAGUGUCUUCCGCGCUGGCCCGUGUACAAGUCUCUUGGAACAGAGCGUCAUAGAGGGUGAGAAUCCCGUCUUUGACACGGACUACCAGUGCUUUGUGAUGCGCUCUCAAA
rnacentral:rRNA from 1 species